GUGUGUGCGUUGAUGGUCGGUAAAUCCAAGAGCACGGUAUGAAGUUCCUACAGCCGAAAAAUCACGUAGGAACUCUAUACCUCGCUAGUGGUCUACCAAAAAGAGCGCCGUUCCGCCG
rnacentral:pre_miRNA from 15 species